GGGGAUGUAGCUCAGAUGGUAGAGCGCUCGCUUCGCAUGCGAGAGGUAAGGGAAUCGAUACCCCGCAUUUCCA
rfam:Ipomoea nil DNA, scaffold: scaffold1662, cultivar: Tokyo-kokei standard.